CCCCCAACUUCCCUUUGCAGUACAGCAGAGUGCUGAUCAACCAAAGCCCUCAUUGGACCUUUAAUAUCUGCAGUUACAUUUUCUCCUGUUCUCUGCACUAGAUAAGCGCAUCACCUACUUCCUUAGCAUUUGCAUCAGACAGUGCCCACUAUUCAAAAGAUUUGUUCACUUGGAAGUUUCAUGUGCACAAAUGUAAUUUUGUAAGUAAAUCUUAUAUCAGAAUGACUGUACCCUCCUUGCUUUAGAGCAAGGAGAUGCUAUUCAAUGGGCCCCUCCCUCCUUUUCACUUUAAUGUGCAUAAUUGCAAUUGUCCUUGCUUCUGUUGGAGUAGGAUUGCAUCUCCUCAUUCCCCCCUUUGUAUUAGGGGCAUGUUAACUAUGAAUGAGCUCUUCUAUUGAGAUUAUUAAUGUGCAUAAUUAAUUGUAUUUGUCUGUGGGCCUAUGCAGUAGGAAAGGUGCUGUGUGCUCUAUGCCCUUACCACUGCCUUUGAAUUAUUGCUGACCUCAGCUCUCGAACAUUUAUCCAAAAUUGUAAUUAUUAUACAGGACCCCAUGCUUUCUUUGUAUACAUCAUGUAUGACCCCUUCUGUUGGAAUAGGAUACCAUUCCAUUAUAUCCCCUAUGCAUUACUGCAGGGGCUGCUGACCACACAAAACUUCUGCAAAUGUUAAUAGACACAAUGGCAAUUAGCAAUGGGUUUGUCCUCCCUGAUCUUACUAGGCAAGCACUCCCAGCCCCAAUUUCUCAUGGCAUCAUAAAGUGUAAACAUUGCAGUAUGCCCUUAACUUGUCCUUAAAAGAGCAACCCAUACGCCCACUCCUUUUGCAAUGCUCCAGGGCAUACACUUCCAAGUAGUCAUGGUCCUACCCUUAUCUUCCCUCUCCCUACCUCUUGCCUGUCCUUGGACCCUUCGGUGGACCAUUAAUAAUCACAAUUUCAGUUGUCCAUAUAUCCAGCCAUUAGAUAAUAUUGUGAUCCCUCCUGCCCCUGCCCCUGCUCUGCCCCACCCCGCCCCACCUCAUCCCGCCCUUUUGAAUUGCUGGUGGGGAAUGUUGACUGGGCAAGGCGCCCUUUCACUUGGGCUUAAAUGUUAACAAUCCCAGAUGUCAUUGGUUUACCCAAUUUAUAUUGCUGUGGUGCUUCAGUUGCUCAUCUGACAUGGACCCUCCAUUUCCCUUUUUGCAUUGCUUUUCAGUAAUGCUGACUACCCAAAGGCCCUUCUGUGUUUUUACUCAACACAGUACUGAUUGUCCCAUUUUCCAACCCAUCAGCUCAAGACAUCCCUACCACUUUGAUGUUGUGUUUGUUUGUGCAGUGUUGUUUACCAAAAGCAGGCCUGAACUAGGUGGAUGGGCCUUCACUCCUUUUCUUGCAUUUGUUAAUAAUCUGAAUUCCAAUUACUGUCCUAUUCUUAGGACAGGAGUUAUCUCUGCCCACCUCUGUUACUGCUUUACUGGGCAAAAUGCUCAAGGCAAGGCAAGCCCAAGGAGCUGGAUUGCCACCCUUUACAUUCUGGAUUUUUAACACACACACACAUAUAUAUAUAUAUCAGUUGAAAGUUGUCUACCCAGGAAGGAAGGUUAACACUAUCUCUGCAUUUUUCCUUCCGAAGCAGGUUGCCUGGCUGAGAAUCUCUCCUCUUUGUAUAUUGCUAUUCUACAGAGUCAAUUGCCAGGAUACAACCAAAAGUUAUCGCUAUUUUUUAUUAAGAAAGACAUCUGGAUUGCAAGGUGGAAUUGAUGAACUGGGCAUUAAACUUUUGAAGUUAAAAACCCAUUUAUACCAUGUACCUGAUGACCAGUGUCUCUCAUUUUACUAAGGGUGGUGGGUCUGUGGAUAGACCACUGUGACUCUUGCUAUACCACCAUUCUAAAACCAUGCCAUUUGGGUUUAACCACCAUUCUCUUUUAGAAAAACUACUUAAAUUUCCUAAUCCUUAAAUUUCUUCAUCUGGAACACCAACCAGCCCCUACUUAUUUCAAGAAGAUAAUAACUGUAAAAGGAUGAAAUGAGACAACAUAUACUGAGGUGCUUUUGAAAACCAAAGUUCACCUUAUUUGAUUAAUCUAUUACAUAAUGAGGACUUAAAAAUGAUGGGACCUGUUUCCCUGUUUUAUAUCAAAAGAAUAGUAAACUAAGAUCUAGCCAUUCUUCCGGAUAUAAACUUGUUUGACAGUGCGCUGCCUGGUAAAAAUGAUUAGCCUAGCCUCUACUGUACAGGUUUUGGUGGCAGAGAAAUAUUUAAUAAAGAGCUACUGAAGCAAAUAACUAAUCAUCACAACAGCAGUUCUUUGUAAUCACUGAAAAAGAAUACUAUUCCUCUAAGAAGGAUGUCAAAAGGUCAUCCCAGGUCAGGGUGCAGUUUAUACUUCUAGCUCCUUGGACAGCUGUAAGAAGAGUCUCUGGCUCUUUAGAAUUCUGGAUGAAUUCUGAGCCAGUUCUGAACCCCUACUUAGGAAUGAUGGGUCAAUUGUAGGUGGAUUGAAGUCUGCACUAGAAAGCAUCCAAAGGACAUUCUGGAUAGGUGAGACCUGAGGACUACAAGAAACUCUAAGAAGCUCCAUAUUAAGUACAUCUUUUCUUUUGAGAAUCUGGACAAGCUCCAACUAAUUGAAGGAUGGCUUGCAGACCACCUGAAGAAAAAGACCUUCCUUAGAAGAAUAGGCUUGUUGCUUUGCAGUGUUAGUGACCUAUUCCCUUUGACGAUCCCUAGGUGGAGAUGGGGCAUGAGGAUCCUCCAGGGGAAUAGCUCACUACCACUGGGCAACAACCCUAGGCCAGGAGGUUCUACCAAGAUUUUUUCCUGGGCCCAGAUAGGAAGGUGAAGUCUCAAGACAUCCUCCACACAUCAGAGCUCCUGAUUGUUCCCUUUAUAUCUACCAAAUCGUUCAUCCUCUGAAAAGCAAUCCAGAGAGCAAGAAAUUUGAACACAACAAAGGAAGAUCAACAUGCCUGGCACUCUAGCAUUUUAGAAUAGCAGAAUAAAUUGUUGUGCCCCUCACUAUAUCUUGUCUCUUCUACUUCUAAAAGUCUGUCUUGCCUUAUCACUUUCACUCAUAAGUGUGUAUUUCUUUGCUUAUCUAUUUUUUCCUUGAAUGUCUUUGGUCUUUGUUCUCUCAAGUUUCUUACCCAAUUCCAUGAUCCUCUUGCUUGUUUCUUCUCUGUGUAUCUUUGUUUCAUUUUCUUUUUUGUUCAUAAGAGUUAUUUGUGCCUUGUCUUAGAUGGCUCUCGUUUUUUCAUUUGUUACUAAUUGUCUUUGUUUUCCUAGCUCUUGCUCUUCUUUCACUGUUCUUCCCAUUGUGUCUCUGAGUCUCAUGCUUUUUGCUCAUUCCUUGUCUUGUCCACCUCUUUUUUUCCUCUUUGUGAACUCUUGAUUGUUCAUCAUUCUCUCCCAUUUUGUUAGUUUGACAUUUUACCUUUUUCUGAUUCUGGCUUCCUUUCUGCUGUUUCUACUCUUCAUCUUGGGUUUCUCUCUUCUACAUGUCCUUUCUGCCUCUCUUGGGCCAUUUUCUUUCCUUUUUCCUGCUCUAUGUGCCUCAGUGUCUCUUUGUUCUUUGUGUCUUUCUAUUUCACCUUUCUUCUCUCUGUUCUCUUGUUCUUUUGCUUUUUUCCCUCCACCCACCUUUGGGUACUUCAGCCUCUUCAUGAGUCUGUGUCUUCCCCUUUGAUUUCUUGCAAUCCUCUCUCCAUGCAUAUUUUUUUGUAUAUGUGUAUGUGUACAUCCAUGUGGGCAUGUUUGUGACAAAGGGGUUUCCUAACCCCUUACAAUAGGUGCAGAGUAUCUACUAUCAAAAUAAGCAUUGCAGAGAUGUUCCUUAUGCCAGGCCGUCCUGUGAGAUAAAUCCAAAACUAGUAGAAGGCCCAAGGAUCCAAAGACCUAAGAUGUACAGAAGGUGGAAGGCCCCUAAUGGAUAUAAUUCCCAACACAGAAGACAGAAUUGAGACCUGUGGACUAAAGUAUAAAACCUGUGUCCCAAGAUAGAUGGAAACCUCAGCCUUGAGACCAUCAGAAGCUCUAGAGCCAUUAUGUACAUAAAGAAGGUGGCCCUUGUCGGAUAACUGAGUUGGAUGCAAGUCUUGUGUCUUGAGUUAGACAAAAGGCUGAAGACCCAGGAUGAAAGAACCAAGCCUAUGAGUGGGGAUACAUGGAAAGCCUGAGACCUGAGUCACAAAACCUGAGAUAAAAAAAAAAAACUUAGCUUGAAGACUUAAGACCCAAGGAUAUGAGGUGUCACACACACAUAAAGACCCAGGAGUCAAGUAUCUCUAUGUGGACUUGAAAGCCCAAGAGGGACUGAUAUCUUAAGACUAAAUUAAGCUGGAGUUCCAUGACCCUAAAUCUAGGAAGGCUGGAAACCCCAAGACCAGAGGAAGUCCCAAUAUGAGGACCCUAAACCUCUAUUCUGCUAUCCUCCCUACCCUUGGAUAUUUUCAGUUCUUCCUUUCCAGUUUUUAUAUCUCCAUUUAAGCCCACUAAUUUUGUGAUAUCCUUUUUGAUGUUGUUAUUAUCUUGAGAUUGGCAAUAUUAUGCCUGGGCCAGUGUAAGGUUCUUUUUAUUAUAGUUUUGAGUCAUUUAUUAAGUUUUAGGUAUUUUUUUAAACUUUAUUUUUUUCACCUCCACUCAUUUGAGAGAGACAUAUCAGUGAAAUUGUAUUUCAGUCCCCCCUUUUCCUCAGAAGCUCUAGGCUAAUGAGAAGAGGAAAGUGUCAGGCUAUGUAGAGAAAAUGUGAAGAGAUGCCUCAGGCCAAUGUGAACAUUUAGAUAGAAAAUACACAGAUGUGCCAGCCUGCUGAGAAGGAUCAGCCAGUAACAUGAUUUCUUUGAGCUUGAGUGAACAGGAUUCCUGGGGUUUGGGAUUCCUAGUGAUGGUUAGAAAAAAGAAUGAGUAGUCCUGGAACAGAGUGAUGUCCCAAGGAGACAGCCUGAACUCCCUGCUCAUAGUAGUGGCCUAAUAAUUUGGUAGACUACACCAACCCUGCCCUAGGCUUUAAUAUCAACCUCUGGGCUUAAAGAUGACAGAAUUUGGAAGUAAUCAGGUUUAAAUCUCCUUUUUCUCCCCCUUAUCAUGAGGAAAGAUAAUUUAAAUAACUGAGAUAUAUAUGAAAAUAAGGUGUUUUCAUUAAUAGUGUAUUGCCAGCUAUGCACAGCUAAUAUGUAUUAUAAGUACACUGUCAGUUUUGAAGCGUUUUGUACAUCAGGGAUCAUCACACUCUUUCUGUAAAGGGGAAAAGGUAAAUAUUUUAGUCUUUGCAGGCCUAUGGUCUCUACAUUUCACUUCCCCCUACCGCCAGUCCUUUAAAAAGGAAAACUAUUCUUAUCAUGUUAACCAAGUAGAUUUGGUCUGUGGGCCAUAGUUACCCCUGAUGUAAAUGCUGAAUAAUAUUAAUUUCCUUGUGUGAGCCUGUCCCUGUUCUAGGCACUAAGGACUCAAUGAUUAUCAUCACAUCCAGGUGGCCCAAAUAAAAAUGUGUGAAUAUGCUUUUAAACUAUGAAAGUGCUUAAAGAUGUAUUAAGUUUCAGAGCUGAUAAAUAUUGAUUACAUAUCAACAGUAUGUAAUACUAUGUAGAUAUUAGGAAUUAAGUGAUUAAUCAAUGAAAAUUUCAUAUAUUUGUAGCUGUGUUGCUGCUGCUUUGGUGAUUUUGAGUAAAUACAGUAUUCCAAGUAGCAGAAAAGAAAACACAUAGAAACUGCUUUUAAACUGUAAAAUAUACAGCAAACACAAGGGAUUAAGCUAUUUUGAUGACUUACAAUGGGCCAGAUAACUUGCUAAACACUAAUAACAGAAAGAAACAAUCUCAAUAUAGAAUUAAAAUUUUCAGAUAAGAAAUGCAUUUUAAAGUGGUUUGUAAACUAAAGCACUAAAUAUCAAUGAGCUAAAUGUUAUGAAUGAAUGAAUGAAUGAAUAUUAACUGCCUUUUAUGUGACAACUAUUGUUUUGGGUUCUGUGAAAUCUAAGGUAAAACUCCCAAGUAAUAAGAUGGAGGUUUAUAUUGUGCAUUAUUUAUAUGUAAGGAAAUUAGAUAAUGCUUAUUUUAAUCAAUCAAGACUUUACUGAUAAUAUCAAGUUAUUAUUACCAGUAUAUUUUUCCAGAUAACAGGAAAAUGUAAUGAAUGAGACUGAGCUUUCUAAACUAUAAAGUGCUAUAUAAAUAUGACAUUAGGUAUUUUCUCUGUGAAUAAAAUUUUUCAUGAGAUAAACAUUCUUUAUAAAAUUCACCCACUAUGAGAGCGGUAGUAUAAAUAGUUAUGCAAACUUGAGGGUUUGAAUACUUGUUAAAUGAAAGCAUAUCAGUUGCCUACUAUGUGAACUCACUGUUACAGGCACUAAAGAGAUACACACAUUUAUAAUUUUAUUGUGCCUACAAUUGAGAAUAAGGCAAUACAUAUGUUAGUGUUUUGUGAACUCUAAAGCACCAUAUAAAUGUCACUAUUAAUUUUUCUCACUUGGUGCAAAGUACUAUAAAAAGUUGGAAAUAUUUAAAGUAUUAACUAUUGAACAAUCUGAAUAUAAUAUGUAAAAGAUUAAAUUUAUGAUGAAUGCAAGACUGGGUAAUAAUUGUCUACUAUGCCAGUCUUUUUGCUAGGCACCAAGGACCUGAAGAUAAAACAUCUUUAUUGUGUCCUUGAUAGCCGAACAUAAUGUCUGAAGUCAAUUUAUAAGUCUUGAACUGCCAUAGAUAUGUAAGCAAUAUCUGUUUUAUGAAUAUUGAUUUUUUAUUCUCAUCCCCAGAGAUAACAACUAGUGAUGCAAAAAUUCAUCACCCUCAUUAUUGAAUCUGUAACAGAGGUCUAUGUGUAAAUUUAGAAAACCUAGUGUUCUAUAUAGGUAUAAGGAAUUAACUGUUGGCUUAAUGAAUGAUGAAUGAUUACUUUUUAUGAGGCUUAAAACUACAUAUGCCCUAGUAUAUAAAUACGAUUUUAUCCUCAUGGGAUGCUUAUAGAAGGAAAUAAUGUAAUAGGUGUGAGCUCCAGACUAAAAAGUACUUAACUACUGCUAGGCUUAUUUAAUGAUAAAAACAUUGAGAAAAUAGAACUGUGCAAAACAGUAUGCUAAAUGCUGAGCUACAUGGAAAGAUACAAUCCAGACCAAAAAGCUCCUUGCUCCCUCGCCUAAUUAAAGAGAUGGAAAUUUUUUUUUUUUUUUUUUAAAAGCAAGCUGCUCUUGUUCUCCAUCAGUUUUUUAAAUGCUGAAUGCUAAAGAUGGAGGUGAAUUAGCUCCACCUUGGCCUGGCUUAAAGAUAUUUAAGAAGUAAAAAUAAAUGGCUCAGCAGUGCUUUUAGAUUUCAUUUGAUAAGCACAGCAUAUUUUGUGUGCAAUAAAUCAUUCUAGGUCCUGAGCAUAAGAGCAGUGAAAUGGGCCUAGUCUAAAGGUCUUUAGAUUGAACACAGAUCAUAGCUGCAGAUAUGAAAAUAUCUUUGAUUUUUUAGUAAAUAUUUGAGUGCCUAUUUUCUGGGAAGUAUUAUGCUCAUUUAAUGAGUUGAGUAGGUAUGGCUCAGAAAUCCCAUUGACUCGCCUUGGAGAUUAAAGAAAAAAAAGUCAUGGUCCUUUUAAUAUAUUUUCCCUAGUUCUGGAUAGUCUCAACUUCACAUGCUCAGUGACCUAAAUUGAAGCCAGAAGACUGUUAAAAGGGCUCAGGAUUUGUCCUUUAAUUCAUUAAUUUAAGUUUCUGCUUCUAUUAUAGUUUAAGAUAAGAAUUAAGAUGAAACAACUGGUUUUAAGAAUAUUUGCUCAUUGGCCUAGCUUAGAAUCAGGAAGCCACUUGAGCAAUAAAAAUGAUUUUAUCUAUAAACAUUUAUUCACUCUGAAGAAAGUGCUGAGAGAAUUAAGAGAUUCCAAAGACCAAACUGCACUUUCAUGUCCUCUAGCUUAUGGUUGAAACACCCAGAAUAAAUUUUAUCACUGCAGGUCUUUCAUUGAGCUGCUGUGAUAUUAAGACACUGAGAAGGAAUGAUUAAAUAGAUCACCUUCUCUUUGACAUGUUUUGUAGAAUGGGAAUGAGAGCUUCCUACUUAUUCAUUAAUACAAACAUUGAAGAUGCUAAAAGAAAUAGCAUUUUAUCUUGGAGAUGCAAUAAAAAACAAGGAAUGGGAUAAAACAUUAAACAGAAGUGUCUAUUUGCAAUGUGCUAAUUUCUAAACAAAACAAAAAGAUCUUAACUAAAAGACACUUGUUUUUAACUAGCUUGGAGACUAGAAUGUAAAAAGUUAUUGUUCAUUCACUUUUUUUCAUUUAUUCAUUCAUUCUACCAGUAUAUUUGAGUGCCUAUUUUAUAUAAAGUACUUGUUAGGUACUCACUUGGCCCAAGAGACAUGAAAAAUGUAUGCUUUCCCAGAGAAAUUUUAAAAACUUUGCUUUUGGGUUGUUUUCGUUAGGGGUUGACUUAGCCCCUGAGUAACAUUGUGUGGUUUAAUUCCUACUCCAUAUUUCUCCUAUCACUCUGGCCACUACAAUAAGCAGGGUUUUCCACUGAGAUAGCUCCUUAAGUUCCAGGAAUCCUUUUUAUAAUAGACACUUCCUUUUCCUAGCUCAUGAAAAAUGAUUGGCUACUGUUGAAUAGAAGCAGGGAUGACAACUAAUUCCCAAACCACAGUGUCAAUAAUACCAGCCUUGGGGAGCCAUGCAUACUCAAGCCACAAUUGGUUUUGAAACAUUUAACAGUUUUGUCUAUUUUCAAUUCUUUAUCCUUUACAUUCUGACAAAUAUACACUGCCUAACUAGAUCUGAGGAACAAUCCCCAGAUAGUACAUAGCAAGACUGAAGAUGGAGACAUGAUUUCUCUUUAACAACAGAUUUUGACUUAAACUUUAGAAAUCGCCUCUCAGUAUCAAAACUGGGUCACGAAAGGACUUAUAUAUGGUAGAAUAUGGUCAGUGAAUGAAAGUGGCUUAACAAUUUAUCAUGCUUAAAUUUUAAGAGUAAUAAAAAUGAGAAAUAAUUGGCAAAAAUUUGAGGGAAAAAUACAAAAAAUAAAUAAAUAAAUAACCCAAACCUCUAAAUCCAGGCCCCACUGGGCUUUGACCUUUUCUAUUUUUAAAUCACUCACAGAGGGUGGGAUAGGAGGAAGAGUGAAAGAAAAGGUCAAACCUGUUUCUAAGGGCAGCCUGCCUUUUUUUGGAUUGGUCUUAUGAACUCCGGGUCUAACUUGAGGAUUGCUUUGUCCUCAUUCAUUUCUUUGGCUGAAUGAUGAUAUUAUCAAUUAAGCCUUGGGUUUCAUAAUUAUGUGAUUUAUCAAUUAAAUCAGUUUAGCCUCCAUCAUAAAGUAGUGUUAAAUCGUUAAGUCUAAAGGCAAAUUUCACUGUAAAAGAAGAGGACUUCAUAGUUCACUGUAAUUUAUGAUACUUUAAAAGCAUAUAUACUUGAGUUUACAUGGCAAGCCAUUUAUAACAUGCAUACAUGGAGAAGAAAAUGUGGAGGUAGCACAUUUGAGAAUUUGGGAUGAUUUUUCUGAUUUUUGCUUUGUACAUUUUAAUUUUGACAUCAGAUACAUCUGUAAUGUUUGACUUUUAAUAUGUGGUAUCAGCUGGACUCAGGAACACUCUUUUCUUCAGUUGGGGGUGGAUUUUCAUAUUUGGAAAGUGCAAAGAAGAAAGUAGCUACAAGCCAGCCUUUUGUGGUUUCUGACAUCCUGAGACUACCACUACUGAUAAAACAAGAAUAAGAGAACAUGCUACCAUCAUCUGUUUUUUGUGGCAUAAAUAAAGUAGUAAACAAAUCCAUUUUUAUAAGAAUGUACUUAUCUCCACCCUUCAACCUCAAAGGGAAUAUAUGCCAAAAUGCUCCAUUAAAUGAAAGAAAUUCUUUGACUUGUGUACAGAUGUGAAAUGCAGAAUCUCAGCCUUGGGUGGUUUGAAGAUUGACAAAUCUUGCUCAGCAAAGGUGAUAUCAAAAAGCAAUCUAAAGCCAUCACAUAACAACUGAGAUAAAUUGGGGAGUAUUUUUUCUAAUGUCAAAUAAAAGCUAAUGUUUUGAAAACUU